rnacentral:rRNA from 1 species
GACGAACGCUGGCGGCGUGCUUAACACAUGCAAGUCGAACGGAAAGGCCCUUUCGGGGGUACUCGAGUGGCGAACGGGUGAGUAACACGUGGGUGAUCUGCCCUGCACUUUGGGAUAAGCCUGGGAAACUGGGUCUAAUACCGGAUAGGACUACGCGAUGCAUGUCGUGUGGUGGAAAGCUUUUGCGGUGUGGGAUGGGCCCGCGGCCUAUCAGCUAGUUGGUGGGGUAACGGCCCACCAAGGCGACGACGGGUAGCCGGCCUGAGAGGGCGACCGGCCACACUGGGACUGAGACACGGCCCAGACUCCUACGGGAGGCAGCAGUGGGGAAUAUUGCGCAAUGGGCGAAAGCCUGACGCAGCGACGCAGCGUGAGGGACGAAGGCCUUCGGGUUGUAAACCUCUUUCAGCGGGGACGAAGCGAAAGUGACGGUACCCGCAGAAGAAGCACCGGCUAACUACGUGCCAGCCGCCGCAGUAAUAC